CAGCAUGUCGCGGUGAAUACGUUCCCGGGCCUUGUACACACCGCCCGUCACACCAUGGGAGUGGGUUUUACCAGAAGUAGGUAGUCUAACCGCAAGGGGGGCGCUUACCACGGUAGUAUUCAUGACUGGGGUGAAGUCGUAACAAGGUAGCCGUAUCGGAAGGUGCGGCUGGAUCACCUCCUUUCUA
rnacentral:rRNA from 1 species